rnacentral:rRNA from 1 species
GUGGGGAAUCUUAGACAAUGGGGGAAACCCUGAUCUAGCCAUGCCGCGUGAGCGAUGAAGGCCUUAGGGUUGUAAAGCUCUUUCAGCUGGGAAGAUAAUGACGGUACCAGCAGAAGAAGCCCCGGCUAACUCCGUGCCAGCAGCCGCGGUAAUACGGAGGGGGCUAGCGUUGUUCGGAAUUACUGGGCGUAAAGCGCGCGUAGGCGGACCAGAAAGUUGGAGGUGAAAUCCCAGGGCUCAACCUUGGAACUGCCUUCAAAACUCCUGGUCUGGAGUUCGAGAGAGGUGAGUGGAAUUCCGAGUGUAGAGGUGAAAUUCGUAGAUAUUCGGAAGAACACCAGUGGCGAAGGCGACUCACUGGCCCAAUACUGACGCUGAGGCGCGAAAGCGUGGGGAGCAAACAGGAUUAGAAACCCGGGUAGUCC